UCCGCUGUUCCGUCAGCGGUAGCCUACUGACCCGGGCGAGAGUGGUAACGCUCUGGUCCGAAGCGGUCAGAACAAUGUAGCACAGCGCUGCGAGUACCGACGCGGCCGGUGCA
rnacentral:ncRNA from 3 species